rnacentral:pre_miRNA from 1 species
UCAUAGAGUCUAGGCUCACGGGAAAGAAGAUUCUCUUGAUUCUAGAUGAUGUUGA